CAGAAAUUAAUGGUGCUUGAAGUAGCUUGCUUUCCUCUUUUUCAUCUAUUUUGCAAAGAAAUGAUGUGUGACUAAUAAAACUAAUAUCAUGUGCAUGAUAUUUAUUUUAUAUCAUCAACAGUAUUGGUCUGAUGUUAUAACCUUCAAUUUCCUACUCUUGAGUGUCCAGACAGCUUAUGCAUAUGAGGACUAGAUGUUUUGACCUUUUAAAUGACAUUGUAAGACUGGUGCAAUCCCUUGUACAGAAGAUGUAUGGAUAUUAGAUGUCUCAAAUGGGUCGUGGCAGCAGUCAGCCCAGCACAAUGUUGGCCCUGUUCUCUGGCAUGCUGCAGCUGUUGCUUACCCUGGAGAACUUACAGUGUAUGGUGGCAUAAAGAACAACCUACUGGAUUACUCUCAGCCAAAGGAUCAUGCUGAAGAAAUGGUUGUACUGAGGUUCAGUCCCCCAAGUCUACAGAGAUUAACAAUAGAAGCUGUAUGUGGAUUAGACUUGCAACUACGUUCCCAUUGGUGCCAGCUUCCACAGACUCUGCAGCACAUCCUUAAAACCCGAACUUGUCCUGAUCGGAUAUUGUAGCAUUUUAUUUAUAACGUAAUUUUGGAAUCUACUUUGCAGCAUAAUGAUCUUGCCUUAAAAGUAGUAAUUUUCUUAAAAUCACAUUCAGUCACAAGCCUUUGGUGUUUGUGUGUGUGUGUGUGUGUAUAAGAAUUUUUGACCCCGUUCUAUUAUUAUUAUUUACCUUUUUGGAUGUUAGAGAAUUCAAGUUACAUAUUUUUGGAUGUUAGGGAAUUGAAGUUACCUAUUUGAUAUUACUAUAUUUAUCACUUUGGGAGAAGUAUCACACUGCCUCUGUUAAAUUAUGUCUAAUAUGUGUGCUGCUUAAAUUAUUGUACGAUACCCACCAUGUUCACCAAAAAUGAAAUAAAGCUUGGAGAGAGACACUGAAACAUGUUUAAAAGAAAA
rnacentral:misc_RNA from 1 species